rnacentral:rRNA from 1 species
AGCGAACGCUGGCGGCAGGCCUAACACAUGCAAGUCGAACGAAGCCUUCGGGCUUAGUGGCGGACGGGUGAGUAACACGUGGGAACGUACCUUUUGGUUCGGAAUAACGCAGAGAAAUUUGCGCUAAUACCGAAUGAGCCCUUCGGGGGAAAGAUUUAUCGCCGAAAGAUCGGCCCGCGUUGGAUUAGGUAGUUGGUGUGGUAAAGGCGCACCAAGCCUACGAUCCAUAGCUGGUCUGAGAGGAUGAUCAGCCACACUGGGACUGAGACACGGCCCAGACUCCUACGGGAGGCAGCAGUGGGGAAUCUUGCGCAAUGGGCGAAAGCCUGACGCAGCCAUGCCGCGUGAAUGAUGAAGGUCUUAGGAUUGUAUAAUUCUUUUACCAGGGACGAUAAUGACGGUACCUGGAGAAAAAGCCCCGGCUAACUUCGUGCCAGCCGCCGCAGUAA